UCUAUGGGAUUUAGAAGCCCAAAGGCACUGAUUUAGUAUCCCGAGCAUAGCGAGGGUACUAAAGUGGCUGAGGGCUUCUAAAUCACAUGGACACCGACAAAAGCAGUGUCUAAUGCACCUAUCAAUGGCAAGCCCCACCUCCCCCAGUACGGGCACUAGGUGGGGCUUAUGUGGGGAUUUGAUUAUACAUUUUGCCCCAGAUGCAGGGAAUUUGAUAAUACUGUUCUGCGCAUGCGCAGUAAAAAAUUAGCCAUGUGCUAAUUGCAACUCUAUUCAUAAAAUAUUAUAAAAUGUGCUAGAGAAGGCUAAAUAUAGAAGCUCUGAAGAUUUAGCUGCAAGAAGAAGUGUGUGAAGAAAUCUAUCAGCUAAUAUAAAACAACCGAAGGUGAUGUCACAAUAUGAGAAAAAGGUCCUAGUGACCUUUGGAGACAAUCGGCGUCCAGUUUCUUUCCAAGGAGGGGUGACUAACCUAACGUUAAAGAUCAAGGAACGUUUUUCAGACUGUGGGAUAGAGAAAGA